UACGUAGGGGGCAAGCGUUGUCCGGAUUUAUUGGGCGUAAAGAGCGUGUAGGCGGCCAGACAAGUCUGCUGUGAAAACUCGAGGCUCAACCUCGAGCUGUCGGUGGAAACUGUCUGGCUAGAGUCCGGAAGAGGAGAGUGGAAUUCCUGGUGUAGCGGUGAAAUGCGCAGAUAUCAGGAAGAACACCUAUGGCGAAGGCAGCUCUCUGGGACGGUACUGACGCUAAGGCGCGAAAGCGUGGGGAGCGAACAGG
rnacentral:rRNA from 1 species